rnacentral:rRNA from 1 species
AGUGAACGCUGGCGGUAGGCCUAACACAUGCAAGUCGAACGGCAGCACAGUAAGAGCUUGCUCUUACGGGUGGCGAGUGGCGGACGUGUGAGGAAUACAUCGGAAUCUACUUUUUCGUGGGGGAUCACGUAGGUAAACUUACUCUAAUACCGCAUACGACCUACGGGUGAAAGCAGUGGAUCUUCGGACCUUGCGCGAUUGAAUGAGCCGAUGUCGGAUUAGCUAGUUGGCGGGGUAAAGGCCCACCAAGGCGACGAUCCGUAGCUGGUCUGAGAGGAUGAUCAGCCACACUGGAACUGAGACACGGUCCAGACUCCUACGGGAGGCAGCAGUGGGGAAUAUUGGACAAAGGGCGCAAGCCUGAUCCAGCCAUACCGCGUGGGUGAAGAAGGCCUUCGGGUUGUAAAGCCCUUUUUCUGGGAAAGAAAAGCAGCAGGUUGAUACCCAGCUGUUCUGACGGUACCCAAAGAAUAAGCACCGGCUAACUUCGUG